CUCUCCUCACAUCCUGCCAAUUGGAUUUGCCCUUGGAGGAGGCUGCCUGUUAGAGAAAUCCAGCCUCACAUACUCAACUCCCUGGACUUUUGCUUGCUCAGCGUAACCCUUUCACACAGCUCCGUCACCCUCUCCCCGGCUCCUCGAUGCCUGCUCAGGACUCUUUUCCAACAUUACAGCUGACCUGAGACACCUGCACAGAGACAGCUUCAUGGAACAUCUGUAUGGUCGUAGAGAAAAGACUUUCAGAGCAGCUUAAUGACUCCUGGCUCAGAGAUGGGUUGGGAGUGCUCCAAGAUUGGCCAGAAGACAGCAGACGACACCAGGAAGCUGUAGAAGACACCGGAAGGAGUGAUGCCUGUGCUGGAUCCCACCCGAGUGUCCAUCUCAGGGCCUUUUUCCCAACCACUGCUGCUGUUUUCCAUUUCCUGCCUGGAUUGAAUGGGCUGCUGCAGUUCUGUCCAAAGUCCCAGAUCAGAAGUGGGUGAUAGGCAUCGGCUGCCCCAGAACCGAGCAGCCACACCCCACCCCUGCAGCACCGGAAGGAAGCUGCAGAGACCCUGGCGGCAGAGUUGCUUUUGGGAAAGCGCAGAGCAGAAAAAGGAAUGCUGUGUUCUGAAGGGAACUUAAUUGAUCUGAUUUAUCUCAACACGGAUAAGGAACGACCAAGGAGCACAGCACAGGGAGUCCUGGUUUACUGUCCUCUCCCUGAGGCAGGUAUUAAAAAGGUGAGAAGUAUCACUGGGAUUCCCCGUCUCCCUUCCCUUCUGAAGGUCCCGUCGUGCUGAAAGGUGCAAGGACUUGCUCUUGGCUUUGAGUUUCCCCCAGGUCGACGGUGCUCAAGUCCAGGCCUGGCUGAUCCCCAGGAGGACAGAAUUCACUAGCUGAGGCCUUUAUACAAGACUCUCAGUCAUGUGCACUCCUGGAUGCGCCUCCAACUCCGUGGCCGUCGUCGCUCUAUUGCUCUCGCCUGUUCCUUUCCAGUGCGGUUAACGGGGCAGACCAUACACUUCCCUUCUUUAUGACUCCAAAGGGUGGGCCGAGUACCAGCAGCAUUCAUUUCCACUGGGUGCUUGUUAAAUGCAGAAUCAUGGGCCCUAACCUACACCUCCUGAAUCAGACUCCAAAUUUUAGCACAAUUCUCAAACGAUCAAUGUGCUUUAAAGUUUGGGGGUGCCUUGGCUUGGAACAUAAGUUGAUUUUUUUACCCAGCUGCAUAGUUCUUUCAUUCUAGAAAUGAUGACGCUACACCUGUACUGCUGAAUGCCCCAAACAGCAGGGGAAGCGUCUAUGUGAAAUCUUUGAAUGACACAGGUUACAGGUUAAUAAGAAGUGGCAGUGACUGACGCACACCCCCCGCAGACAAAUCUAUGUGGUGGAGUAUAGGGACCUCUCCGACACAGAGGACAAAGGGCUGUGGGAAUAUGAGGAGCGUGUGGUUGGCAUGGGCAGAUGAGAAGAGACUCCACAGAGGGGGUGGUGCUUGGGCUCAGUGUUGAAGGAUGAGUCAGAGCUGGACGGGUGGAGCCAUGAGAGGAUAACAUUCCCAGCCAAGAGACAGAGAUGGCGGACGUCAAAGCAAGAGGAGUCGUGUUCUGCACUUGGCCAGGGGCCUGAGCCCCGCUCUCACCACGGGAAAGCCCACCUUCCCUUGGUGCUCAGCCAGGAGUCACUACUGCGGGGCCCUGGGCAAACCAUAACUCCUGUCUGGGCUCCAGCUUCAUCUCCAACUUGUGGCUUGGAUUACUACUAGGCAGUUUUCAAAAUGUGAAGCCUUCCUUAAACCUUUAGCAAUGGCCAAAGGGAAAGGAGAAGAGGCAGCACUCUGGGCUGUUAGAACACCUGUCAAGUGUUCAGUUGGUCCUCUGUAGCCAUGGAUUCAACCAACCAGGUCCAACAGUGGUUGGUGGGACCCAAGGAUGCAGAGGGCUAAAGGUACCGCAACAUUCUAUAGAAGGGGCUUGAGCAUCCACAGAUUCUGGUAUCCUUGAGGAUGGGGGGAAGAGGUGGUGGUCUUGGAAUCAAUCCCCACGCCCCCCAGACACUAAUGGAUGAUGGCAUUUGUUUUCCAGGGGCUCCCUGGAAAGAAAGGAAGGAGUCAAAAUGGAGUGGGGCUUAACGUAUUUAAUAAGUGUGAAAACCACUAAAAGGGUGGCCUCUGAGGUGUCAGGCCAGCAUUAACACCAAAUGCUUAUUCGGUUCUUUAACAACUCGCCAUGUAACCACCCAGCUUGGACUUCCCCCCUUAUACCCGGAAUACUCCUCCCACCAUGUCCUUGGGCUGUAAAUUUCUCUUUCUUUUUCUUUUUGUCUUUUGUCCUUUUUCAGGG